rnacentral:misc_RNA from 1 species
GUGAAUCAUCAAAUUUUUGAACGCAUAUUGCACUCUCUGGUAUUUCGGAGAGUAUGCCUAUUUGAGGGUCAUUUGAAAUAAUAUACGUUCUAAGGUUUCUCGGAAUUUAUAAUGGAUUGUCCAUGUUUUGUGGUCGCUUAAAUUCAAAGACAUGAUCUUUUUCUUGGGUUGCGUGAUACUUUUAGUUAUCUCGUUACUUACGCAGGAAUCAUCGGGUGUGAUAUGAGUUUUUCAAGAGAUAUCAAA